CUCUAGUUGACUUCAACUGCAAGAGAAAUGCCAAGCUGAGACCAGUUAAGCCACAGAACUCUUUUACCUUCGUUAACUCACACCUACACCCAUCUGGUGAACAACUAGCAUUAGAAGUGAAACCAGCAACCAUUUAACAGCAAACAGUAGCAGCAGCAUGCACCAAAAGAGAAUGGAAAGUGAAAAGAACACAACAGAUCAUUUUAAAAGUAAUGUGUCAAUUGCCUGGUUCUUGACUGACAGCUGAAAUUAAACAAAAAAGUGAAUUCCGUUCUACAGUGCGACAAUCUUAUGGGAACACUAGAGGAUAUCCAUAGACAGCAGAAAAAACAGCAAAAUAGAUAUUUUCACUCACAGAAAAUGAAUGUUUGCAAAGGUUCACCAAGAAAUAAAGUCAACCAAAAAAGCAAAGUCAUGGAAAAGAAUUUUUCAUCCAGUGACCACCAAAUGGAGGAAUUAUGGUCUUGAAGGGGAAUGUAUCAAUCACUCAAGGAAACUAGAUAGGGGACUGAAGGUGGCAAAAGGAGGGGCAUAGCAAAUGGAAGAAGGUGUCCUAGAGUCACUCUUAAA
rnacentral:sRNA from 1 species